UCAUUAGUUUUUUAAUUGAAAGCUUGUAUGAAUGGUUUGAUGAAAAAAUAACUUUCUUUAUUUAAUUUUUUAAAAAAUUUAUUUUUAAGUUAAAAAGCUUAAAUAUUUGUAAAAGACGAGAAGACCCUAUAGAGUUUUAUUAUAAAUUAAUAUUUAAUUUUUUAGAAUUUUAUAUUUUUAAUAUUAAUAAUAAUUUAGUUGGGGUGAUUGAAAAAUUAAAAAAACUUUUUCUUUAUAAGUACAUUAAUUUAUGAAUUUUUGAUCCAUUAAUAUGAUUAAAAGAACAAAUUACCUUAGGGAUAACAGCGUUAUUUUUUUUUAGAGUUCUAAUCGAAAAAAAAGAUUGCGACCUCGAUGUUGGAUUAAAGUUAAUUUUAGGUGUAGAAGCUUAAA
rnacentral:rRNA from 1 species